rnacentral:rRNA from 1 species
UACGGAGGGUGUACAGCGUUAAUCGGAAUUACUGGGCGUAAAGCGUGCGUAGGUGGUUCGUUAAGUCCGUUGUGAAAGCCCCGAGCUCAACUUGGGAAUUGCAGUGGAUACUGGCGAGCUAGAGUGCGGUAGAGGAAGGUGGAAUUCCCGGUGUAGCGGUGAAAUGCGUAGAGAUCGGGAGGAACACCAGUGGCGAAGGCGGCCUUCUGGACCAGCACUGACACUCAAGCACGAAAGCGUGGGGAGCAAACAGG